AUACCUAUGAGGCAAAUUUUACGAAAGUAAAAGACGCAAAGCCACGGGUCUAAAGUGUUUCCAUCCACCAUGACAGCCGGGUUCCCAAG
rnacentral:ncRNA from 1 species